UAUUACCGCGGCUGCUGGGCGGGCGCGGCGGCGGCGAACAGCAGCAGCGUGGCGGGGAGACUCGCGAGGAAUGUCUUCAUGGGAGCGGAUCGGAAGUGUCGUCGACGGGGCCGCGCGGGAUCGACGAAGGCGGCACGAGGUAGAGAUCGUCGCGGUCGUAGCCGAGGAUAGCACGGCGCAACACGCGCUCGGUUUUCUGGCCGGCCGAGCCCAGGCCCUUCAGCUCGAAUUCGACCUGCAGGGCGUUGUUGAGUUCCCCGGUGCGGUUGCGCAGAUAACGCCGGCCCACCACGCGCACGGCGAGGCAGCAGCUUUCCCACUGCACGCCGGCGAUGGUCUCCAGCUCCUUCUUCUCCAGCAGCCGCGGUAAUA
rnacentral:rRNA from 1 species